AUUGUCAAAAAGUAAAGUAAGGAAAUUAAGCAAAUUUCAUAUGUCGAAGUUAAUACCAAAAGCAGAGGCAAUACGGCCACAGAAGCUUUAUGGAUGUUUGUUGUAUAUCACGACUUGAAUGAUUAUAUAGAGAUAUAAAGAUAUAUAAUGAAUUAUUUGCAUAUAUUUAUAAACACUAGGGGACAGUUUGGUGAUCUGCUUAAAACUACUAUGAAGAGAUAAGUGAAGAGAUAAAAGGCUACAAAUUAGAAAGAAGUAUGAAAAGCAUAUAUUAAUUGGAAUGAAAAACAGGGCCAAAUAAUUAUAACCAAAUGGAAAGAAUAAUAAUGGGGGAGGGGGUGAGGAAAAAAUACCACAUCUGCUUAUAUUAUGACGUAUUCAUAAAAUUCAUAAGUAUUGGAAUGUUGUUCAAUCCUUUAGAUUACUGGAAGGGAAAGAGAACGACUGCCAGGGAUACAACUUGUAUAUAGGCUCAUACUAUGUGACAAACAUGGCCACCAGGCGACGAGCUGACGAACCGAGGCGAUGGGAUACGACAACGAUGUAGCGAAGAAGGUGACCUACAGAGCGACCACGACGGCUACCAGGUUACGACUAUGGUGAUGGUGAGCAAGCGAUUACGAGACUGAUGGCGACCACGGUAGUAACCAGCGAGGGAAGAAGGGCGGCGGCCAGGGUGACUACCAGGGUGAUGGCAACCAGAGCAACGAACAAGAUGACGGCAACGAUGAUCAUCAGGAUGGAGCCUACCAGGGCGACGGCAUGGACGGCAACCGGAUCUUUACCACGGUAAAGACGACCGAGCCGGGGCGACUACCAAGUGAUAGCUCCGGAGAUAUACAAGAUGAUACACCCUUUGUCUCUUCGCUGCUAAGAAGACGACGAGUGAACUGUAAUCUUAGAUGCUUCCCAGAGAUCACAAUUUAAGUCUGCAGAUGCAAACAUGAGCUACAAGCUAGACAUCCAUGUCAAUGACAACUGCUCUUCACACAAAAAAUAUCAGGACUUCGACGCCCACGCACGAACAAGGGAGAAGCCAAAAAUGAAAUAAAUUUGAAAGAAAGCUUUGAAUCUUGCACAACCAAAAUAAUGUCAUAAACUGUUGCUUGAAAGAGGAUUCUGCAUUAGUUAUUUUCAAUGAUGUACAUCUACAAACAUUCGAGACAUUGGAGGCAGUUUUAAGUGAGAGAGAAUAACACUGUAUUAGGUGCUUUUAUAUAGCACUCUGCAUGGAUGCAUUAUUUGAAUAUUUUGUUAACAUAAUCAAAUUAAUGUACGUCAAGCAAAAUGUUAGCAUAUUUAAUAUACGAAUUAUAAUUGUAAAAUUCCUUUUCAGCGAAGAUAAUCAUAUUUCUAUUUUUAAAUAUUUAUUUUCAUAAUUUAAAUGUACGUAUUUAUCCUCGUAAUUUUCAUAUAUGUUUAAAUCUCACUUGCUAUGUAAUUCCAUUUACUUUCCAUAUUCUUUAAGGUGUGUCACCAACAUGUAUUAUUUCAACUUAAUUGCAUUAAAACAAUAUGAUUUCCUAAUGACGAUAUUCUAAUAACAAUACUGAUUUUCUAAUACCCAUGAUACAUUUAUAACCAACACUAAGCAGCACUACUAACAUCACUGUAAUGAACCAUUAUACUGUUAAUGUAUCAUACAUUAAAUAUACCAUUUCAACUCAUUUUGUAUAAUUUAGUACUAAUACUAAUUUGACGUAGUAUUAUAUGAAUUGCUUAAUAUCCGUAUGCCAUGGUUAUGUGAUGUAUAAUCAGUAUUGCCUUGCAAGUUGAAUUACUAAAUAACAUGUUUUAAUCAACAGCGCUGCUAACUAAUAUUGCUGCUGCUAUUUGUAUGUUAUUAAUAUUUGUUUUAAACUAUGAAUAACUAAAACUCUAAUCAAAUGCACUAAUGGCUAAUACAUAAUAAAUGUCUAAUAAUUUGUUAUAUACUUGAUUUAUGUAUCUUUGAAAUGUAAGCAUAUAUACAUACUGUAUAAUUAUCUACCUUUUAUCCCUCUUUUAUCCCUAACGUACAAUGCAACUUCUAAUUUAAAACUCUAACUCUAAUUAUUUAAUUGUAUGUGUUUAUCGUGCCAUUCCCUAUAAAAUGGUCUUUUUAAAAGAAAAAUCUUCUUAUAAAUCGAUGUUUGUAAAAGUGAAGCUAUGUUUAAUAUCAGAUUUACAUUGAUAUUUUCAUGACUGUUUCGUGUUAUUGAUCCAAUACCAGAUUAAUCAGUGCAUAUCAAAUGUUUAUGUGUAAAACAAAAUUGAUUGUGUUGUCAGGGUUAAAAGAAGAGUAUAUUGAGGCUACUUUAGGCCAAUUGGGCUGAAAGUCGACGAGAGCCCAAAGUUCUUGAAUUUUGAAGGGUCACGAGACUACAAAGCUGGUCUCGUAAAGUUAUUUACGGUCUCGUGGACUUUCGGUCACGUCUCUAUCGAUAUUAAAUUGCAUAUAAUUAAUUUGGAAUAUACUUUUUUCAUUAUCGUCAUUUUGAAGUCUGUGAAUUUUCCGUUUUCAAAAUUAUGUAUAAACAGUUGGUAUUACAAAUAGUAUGUGAUCCAUAACAUUUCGUUUAACUCCUCUGUUAAAUUGCUUUAUAUAAAGUCAAGUAACUUAUGUUGUAAAGGUAUAGAUCCGAUGAACCCUUGUCAUUGGAAUACUGUUUUAGGUUCUCGGUCUUCCUUGUGUAGGUCCUUCGUAGUAAUGUGGUAUUAAAUCAUUUUCUUGAUAUACAUGAAAUAUCUCUUAAAUGUGAGUUAAAUGUAAAAGAGCACUGGCAGUAACUAUGUAAAGGCACAAUCAUGACACUGCUAAGUGACUAUGAUUUAACAUUUAUGAUUGUUACACGAUGCGUAUAUUGUGUUUUUCAAAUUGACGUAUGAUUAUCGUGCUUAAAGACAAAUAUACAUAUAUCAAAAUAAAGGAUUCAUGAUUUAAACUCA